rnacentral:rRNA from 1 species
CGGCAACAGCUCAAAUUUGAAAUCUGGCGCAAGCCCGAGUUGUAAUUUGCAGAGGGUGCUUUUGGCGCGGUGCCUUCUGAGUUCCCUGGAACGGGACGCCGGAGAGGGUGAGAGCCCCGUACAGUUGGACACCAAGCCUUUGUAAAGCUCCUUCGAC